rnacentral:rRNA from 1 species
AUUGAACGCUGGCGGCAUGCUUUACACAUGCAAGUCGAGCGGCAGCGCGGGGGCAACCCUGGCGGCGAGCGGCGAACGGGUGAGUAAUAGAUAGGAACGUGUCCGGGAGGUGGGGGAGUAACUAGCCGAAAGGUUAGCUAAUACCGCAUAUUCUGUGCGCAGGAAAGCGGGGGACCGUGAGAGGGCCUCGCGCUUCUGGAGUGGCCUAUCUCCGAUUAGCUAGUUGGGAGGUAAAGGCUUACCAAGGCGACGAUCGGUAGCUGGUCUGA